rnacentral:rRNA from 1 species
UCUUAGUGGCGACGGGUGAGUAACGCGUGGGCAACCUGCCCUNUACCGGGGGAUAACACUUAGAAAUAGGUGCUAAUACCGCAUAAUAGGGAAUACCGCAUGGUAAUCCUUUGAAAACUCCGGUGGUACAGGAUGGGCCCGCGUCUGAUUAGCCAGUUGCGGGGUAACGGCCCACCAAAGCGACGAUCAGCAGCCGGCCUGAGAGGGUGGACGGCCACACUGGGACUGAGACACGGCCCAGACUCCUACGGGAGGCAGCAG